rnacentral:rRNA from 1 species
UAAACGCUGGCGGCGUGCCUAAAACAUGCAAGUCGAACGGCUCACUUCGGUGGGUAGUGGCGAACGGCUGAGUAACACGUGGGUGACCUGCCUUCGAACGGGGGAUAACUGCCCGAAAGGGUGGCUAAUACCGCAGAUGUCGUCUCUUCGUUGAGGCGACUGAACUUCCGGGGUUCGGAGAGGGGCCUGCGUCCGAUUAGCUAGCUGGUGGGGUAAUGGCCUACCAGGGCGACGAUCGGUAGCUGGUCUGAGAGGAUGAUCAGCCAGACUGGUACUGCGAGACGGCCCAGACUCCUACGGGAGGCAGCAGUUAGGAAUUUUGGGCAAUGGGCGAAAGCCUGACCCAGCAACGCCGCGUGGGUGAAGAAGGCCUUCGGGUCGUAAAGCCCUUUUCCAGGGGAAGAUAAUGACGGUACCCUGGGAAUCAGCCCCGGCUAACUACGUGCCAGCAGCCGCGGUAAUACGUAGGGGGCAAGCGUUGUCCGGAUUUAUUGGGCGUAAAGCGCUCGCAGGUGGUUCAUUGCGUCGUGCGUGAAAGACCCCGGCUCAACUGGGGAGGGUCGUGCGAAACGGGUGAACUAGAGGCCAGUAGGGGGAUGCGGAAUUCCGGGUGUAGUGGUGGAAUGCGUAGAGAUCCGGAGGAACACCAGCGGCGAAGGCGGCAUCCUGGACUGGUCCUGACACUCAGGAGCGAAAGCGUGGGGAGCGAUCCGGAUUAGAUACCCGGGUAGUCCACGCUGUAAACGAUGAGUACUAGGUGUUGGGGGUAUCGACCCCCUCAGUGCCGAAGCUAACGCGAUAAGUACUCCGCCUGGGGACUACGGCCGCAAGGCUAAA